GUCCUGUAAAAAUGCCUGAAUCAAAUUAAGUGUGUUAUUUUCAAUACUGUGGAUUCAUUAUUAUUCGUUGGAUACCAAUUUUUCGUGGAUUUCGUGGGCACAGUCAAACCACGAAAUUCAAUAUUCAACGAAUGAUAAUUUUUCUAUAGGUUUGAAUGCAGACUUCAGCAAAACCACGAAAUUAAAUAUCCACGAAUAUGCAAGUUUUUC
rnacentral:lncRNA from 1 species